rnacentral:lncRNA from 1 species
AUUUCUUUAUUGGGAAUUUGUUUUAUUUAGAGUACAGCAUAGGUGGAAGAAGCUCCUUAUCUAUGGAGCACAGUAGAAAAAGAGUGAGACAUGUUGACGUGGAAAAAGAGUGUUUCAUGCAUCUGCGAGCAUCUUGUUCUGGAAGGAGAGGCUUGAGCGAAGGGAGUCUUGUUUGGCAGCUGGAGGUUUGAUGGUGGUAACGUUAAUGAACCUCUGGAACCAUUUGCCAGAAUCCUUGAGGUUUCUAUCAUCGAGGUCUGUCCAAUUAACGUAACUGAGUCCGAAUCUGACGGUAAAACCUUUGCAGAAUUCAUAGUUAUCACCAAGAGCCCAUGCAAAGUAUCCUUUCACGUUGACACCCUUCUCCCUGAAAAACAAGAACAGUCAUCAUUAUCUCAUCAUAUAAAGUCCUACGAUAUUGAUGAUGAUGAUCAUAUAUGUAAGUAUCAUAUAUAGUAGCUUCCACUUACUUG